UCGGUUCUGGGUAGGUGUGGGCUUAGUCAUGUGCAACUCUUUGCAACCUUUGGCCCCACCAGGCUCCUCUGUCCAUGGGAUUUUUCAGGCGAGAAUACUGGACUGGGUUGCCAUUUUCCUCCUCCAGGGAAUCUUCCCAACCCAGGGAUCCAACCAGCACCCCCUGUGUCUUCUGCAUUGCAGGUGGACUCUUGACCAGCUGAGCCACAGGUGCCAGCAUCGCCCUGCAUCUUCUGACGUUAGUUUCUGCUCAGCCCUUAGGCUCCAGGGGAGGGUCUGGUCUGGCAUGACAACAAGAGUGACUCUGAUGAUGCUCAUUGUUUAAACAAUCCGGAGGCCCUUGCUGGGGGAUUGAGGCUGAAUAAGGACUGGUCAGCUGGAGCGUGAAAUGAUCACUCCCAGGAGACGACAGCUGGAAUGUAAGCUCGUGAUGGAAGCCUGCCCCAGAGAAGCAAGUGGUCUUUAGGAAUGUCGAUGCCUAUGUAUCCAUGUCCUUGCCAAAUCUGUCACCUGCUCGGCCAUGCUGGUAAUAUCCAUGAGACCCUGAGUGAGUCACCAUCUGCUGAGGCAUCAGGUGUCAUCUGUAAAACAAUGGACUUUAAUCACCUAGUCUUUACCAUGAUUUGCAAUUGAAAGAUAAUAUGGUUGAAAAUUUGAGGUAGAAAGGAUUUGAAAUGACCUCUCAAUGGAAGCUUGGCUAACGGAAGAGAAGCCCCAGUGAAAAUAACAUUCAUUACUUUGUUGAUACGUGUGUGUGUGUGUGUGUAUACAUGUAUAUGGAAUAUAUGAAUCCUAUUAAGUGCCAGAAUUAUCCAUUUUCAACAGCUCCAUGCUGCAGUAAGAACAAAUCAGGUUUCGAAAACAAACUUACGGUUGCCAAAAGGGAAAAGUGGAGAGGGGAGAGAAAAAUUAGGCGUUUGAAAUGAACAUAUACACACUACUAUCUACAAAAUAGAUCAUCAACAAAGACCCACUGUGUACUGCAGGGAACUCUACUCAGUGCUGUGUAAUAACCUAUGUGGGGAAAGAACCUGAAAAGAAAAGAAAUAUGCGUAUGUAUAACUGAAUCACUCUGCUGUACACCUGAAGCUAACACAGCAGUGUCAAUCAAGUACGCUCCAAAAUAAAAUAAGCGGGAAAUAACA
rnacentral:lncRNA from 1 species